rnacentral:misc_RNA from 1 species
GAAAUGCGAUAAGUAAUGUGAAUUGCAGAAUUCAGUGAAUCAUCGAAUCUUUGAACGCACAUUGCGCCCGCCAGUAUUCUGGCGGGCAUGCCUGUCCGAGCGUCAUUUCAACCAUCAAGCCCCCGGGCUUGUGUUGGGGACCUGCGGCUGCCCGCAGGCCCUGAAAACCAGUGGCGGGCUCGCUGUCACACCGAGCGUAGUAGCAAUCACCUCGCUCAGGGCGUGCUGCGGGUUCCGGCCGUUAACAGCCUUACAAAACCCAAGGUUGACCUCGGAUCAGGUAGGAAGACCCGCUGAACUUAAGC